rnacentral:rRNA from 1 species
CAGUCGAGCGGUAGAGAGAAGCUUGCUUCUCUUGAGAGCGGCGGACGGGUGAGUAAUGCCUAGGAAUCUGCCUGGUAGUGGGGGAUAACGUCCGGAAACGGACGCUAAUACCGCAUACGUCCUACGGGAGAAAGCAGGGGACCUUCGGGCCUUGCGCUAUCAGAUGAGCCUAGGUCGGAUUAGCUAGUUGGUGGGGUAAUGGCUCACCAAGGCGACGAUCCGUAACUGGUCUGAGAGGAUGAUCAGUCACACUGGAACUGAGACACGGUCCAGACUCCUACGGGAGGCAGCAGUGGGGAAUAUUGGACAAUGGGCGAAAGCCUGAUCCAGCCAUGCCGCGUGUGUGAAGAAGGUCUUCGGAUUGUAAAGCACUUUAAGUUGGGAGGAAGGGCAGUAAAUUAAUACUUUGCUGUUUUGACGUUACCGACAGAAUAAGCACCGGCUAACUCUGUGCCAGCAGCCGCGGUAAUACAGAGGGUGCAAGCGUUAAUCGGAAUUACUGGGCGUAAAGCGCGCGUAGGUGGUUCGUUAAGUUGGAUGUGAAAUCCCCGGGCUCAACCUGGGAACUGCAUUCAAAACUGACGAGCUAGAGUAUGGUAGAGGGUGGUGGAAUUUCCUGUGUAGCGGUGAAAUGCGUAGAUAUAGGAAGGAACACCAGUGGCGAA